UGGAACUGAGCGAAACUCACACGCAGGUCCGUCUCUUUCGCAUCUUUUAUCGUUUGUUCGUCUCUGUUCGCUCGUUUCCUCGUGAAUCGAAUCUUUGUGCUUGCUUGUUGACGGAUCCUUGUAUUCGGUGGACUUGCGAAAACAGUUUGGGGAAGUAUGAGUUCUUGGGGGUGACAAAUUGAUUUGUUGCUUUCAAUGCGUAAAUGAUAUCAUGAAGUCACCGUAAUUCUGUCUGCAUGCUUUUUCGCUUGGUUGAUUGGUGGUGGUGGUGGUCUCCCAUCUGUUUGAUCGCUUAUUACAGUUAGUUUCUUUGCGGUUGAGGCUUACGGUGCCUGUUUUCAUGUGCGGAUUCUCACAGUUGUUAGCUUUGCUUAAGUUGGAACAUAACAACGUGAAAGAGCAUGCAUGAACGAUUUGUAGGUAGUUAGAAGAAAGUGAAGCUGUGUGCUAAUAGCACUGACGUUUGUUCCAAUCAGUAUUCAGCCGUCCUAAUCUUUGCUCUGCUUUCUUUUCUUUUCUUUUUCUCAUCACAUUUGUAUGCAGAGAGUGUGAAAUUGAUUUUUCAGUUACUUCAGGGAGGAAACGUUUAAUGCAUUUCCCCAGAGCCUUAACCCGAGGACGAUAGUACAUAACUGGCAAGUUUUGAUCAGUAUUCAAGACAUGUUGAUUGCAAGCUAAUUCAAUUGUUGUCACUGUAGGCUGGGACCUGGUGUAUGCCCAAAGGGCUUUAAAUGCAUUUUCAGCGAUCAAGGGGUUUGGUAUGUUAGAUCAUUUAGAUAUGGCCUGGAGCUGCUGCUGCUGCUGCAGCUAAGCCGGUCUUUGGGCAUCGUUUUAUGCUGGGGCAUUGAGUCUUUUUCUUCUCGGCUCUCAUUUGUCUAUUUAGAGUUUCAUUUUCUUUUAAAAAAUCGCGGGGGAAAUUUAUGUUCUUAAAGCCUUUCUGACACUAUAUGUUUCUUGCUGAGAGCUUCCUCACACUUUUGCUCAGAGACAGCGUGGAGGAGAUAAUAGGGUUUAAUUUCAUUUUUGCUUCCUCAACUUUGCCAUAAAACUGUACGUUUGUCCCCAAACUUCAUUUUCUGAUAUCCUGCAUUUAAUUCAAAUUAUCACUGUUAUGUUAUUUUGAGAGAAUGAAUUCAUGAAAUACAUUACAAUCG
rnacentral:lncRNA from 1 species